rnacentral:rRNA from 1 species
UGGGGAAUAUUGGAUAAUGGGCGAAAGCCUGAUCCAGCCAUGCCGCGUGUGUGAAGAAGGUCUUCGGAUUGUAAAGCACUUUAAGUUGGGAGGAAGGGCAGUAAGCGAAUACCUUGCUGUUUUGACGUUACCGACAGAAUAAGCACCGGCUAACUCUGUGCCAGCAGCCGCGGUAAUACAGAGGGUGCAAGCGUUAAUCGGAAUUACUGGGCGUAAAGCGCGCGUAGGUGGUUGGUUAAGUUGGAUGUGAAAGCCCCGGGCUCAACCUGGGAACUGCAUCCAAAACUGGCCGGCUAGAGUACGGUAGAGGGUGGUGGAAUUUCCUGUGUAGCGGUGAAAUGCGUAGAUAUAGGAAGGAACACCAGUGGCGAAGGCGACACCUGGACUGAUACUGACACUGAGGUGCGAAAGCGUGGGGAGCAAACAGGAUUAGAUACCCUGAUAGUCCACGCCGU